rnacentral:rRNA from 1 species
AUGGGAGGGACGGAACUGGAAAGUCCUGCCCGUUCGGGGGAUAAAACGUACAAAGCCCCACACGUGAAUCUAAUGCUAUCAUCAUCUAGUGAUAGCGUUAACCAAGGGGGUGGGAGCAAUGAAACUCCUUUAACUAUUGACUUGAACCGACCGGCUCAGGAUCAGGAAGAUAUUCGGCAAUAUGCCGAAUCAAUCAAGGACUUUAGAAUUGACGAGCAAUUUGAGAGUUUCAAAAACAAUCAAUUCACUAAACCGCUCUAUGAUAAAUUAUGUGCCUACGUGGGAGAUGCGGAGGCUGUAAAAAACACAUGCAUACGAGAAAUCUCGGAGAACUUUCAUUCAACAGACGCUGGGUUAAUUGAUUUCGUCAAGCAGACGGAUGACAGUGAAGGGCAAAGAAGAGUGAUAUUUGAUCUUAUCAACCUUCAUUUUAAGGAUGAGCUAGAGAAACUCCCACCCGAACUCCAACAAAAUGAAAAUCAAGAGGACGACGGGGAGGGAUAA